CUCGCGAGCUCGUGAACAGGUCCCGGUGUCCGAGGGGUGAAACAGGGAAGUCGGUGCGUUGUGCGUGUUCACGCCAACCAUUCCGACGCUGCCCCCGCAACGGUAGACGAGUCAAACCAGCGCGUUUCAACCACUGUGCUUUAGGAGCCUGUCGGACUUAACACUGUUCUACUGCGGAAAAACCGAUUCGGCCAUUUUUGCCGCUCUUUCUCGUUAAAUAGCUAGCUAUUCGCCUCGAAAGAUCAACAAAACUGACUCGAACCGGACUUUCCCUCGCUACGAACGGUCAAGCCCGACAGGCUCCUCGCAUGGGAAGGUGCGUUUUGGUCGCGUUCUGAAUCUUCAGUUCGCCGCUCGUAAGCCCGGAGACCGGCCUGCUGCAGUCCACGGCA
rnacentral:ncRNA from 2 species